rnacentral:lncRNA from 1 species
GGCAGUUUUUAUGUUCUAUAAUACAAAGCAUACUAAAUGGAAUAAAUGGAAAUUUAGAGUCACAGUUAAACAUUCGACUUAUGUCUUCUCUUUUAAGCAUUUUAAACUACCUCUAUUAUAUUGAUUUUUAGAAGAAUUGUUUUCUAAAGAAAACUGCUUCCUGAUGUUGGCGCAGUGCUGUGUUUAGUCAUUCCUCCCAAUGCCAGUGAUCCCUUAAAUCUGGGUGUUGUCCAUCAUCAUCCCUGCCCGUCUCCGUGCAUCCACAACUGCCACAUCCUGAGAGCUCAGUCCAUCAUAAAUGCAAUUAUAGCCUUUUACCUCCUCCUCACCAGAUACUCUCUACAGGGCAAGUUCAUCAAACUGUGUGCUUAGAAGCUCUGGAGCAGAACUCUCACCCACCAGAAGAUUGCCUCAAGAGAUAAAAGAUGAUUUACAACCCAAAGUAUGCCCACUAGAGGUUUUGGCCAUUUUUACAAUGUAUUCCUGCCCAUGAAGAUGCCAACUUGACUGCCCAAUACAUAAAGCACCAAAGCAAGUAUGCGGACCCCCC